rnacentral:lncRNA from 1 species
CUUGUUUCUUUGUGAAACAUGUGCAGACAGGGAUGUGCAUAAGUGUCACAAGCGUACUACAGGCGGAUGCGUCUUGGGGAAAGUUAUUUUAUGUGGAACUGUCCAACAACUGUCUGAAUCCAGCUGCUCAGUGUCGGUUUCUUGAUAAUAGCGCCAUGUUCAAUUUGGAAAGAAACAGUUGUUUCGAGGGAGCAUUUAGGAGUGGUACUAAGUUUUCUAUGUUGUAUUUGAUCGUUGCUACAGAUCCUGCAGGUAAUUGUCGUGAUCGUGACCAUGCUAUAACCCAGACCUCUUGGGGAGGUUUAUAUGUAUAUGAAGUACCUAAUAAAGGGACGCGGUGUGCAGUCCCUGAAACCAACAUCAAAUUGACGACAAAUUGUAACGAUGCAGAGGAUAAACGUUUUAAUUUUGGU